GCCUUCAUGGUGUAAUGGUAGCUCACUCGGCGGGUAUUCAAGAAGUCCAGGUUCGAGUCCAGGCGAAGGCA
rnacentral:tRNA from 1 species